GGAGAAAAGAGGCUGAAUAAUUCAGCCAGAAGGACGGUGUCCUUCUUGUGAAGGACAAGAUGACUGCAGCCCCCCACCCCACUCAGAGACGGUGUGAGCGACCUCCACGCUUAUCAUCUCCUGUCCAUUCAUUCACAAAGUCAUUUAUUCAAACCUCUGAGACUCUCCUAUGUGCCAGCUCUGCUCGAAAGGGAGAAGAGGAGGUGGGCAUCUGGACAGGAGGCAUGGCUACCAAUGGUUCUUUUACGGCUAAUUACUAGGAAGGAAGGCAGGCGUAAUUCCAGAGAAAGAACCCUGGGAACUCUGAGCGACAUUCUACACAUUUACCAAUGGGAACACCCAAAUUACACUCUCCUUCCACUUUACCUCUUAUUUUAAAAAGAAGCUGUUUCUCCCACACAUCCCAUAGUUCUGUGAAAUGUGUUGUGU
ensembl:lncRNA